rnacentral:misc_RNA from 1 species
GAUGAAGAACGCAGCGAAAUGCGAUUAGUAAUGUGAAUUGCAGAAUUCAGUGAAUCAUCGAAUCUUUGAACGCACAUUGCGCCCUCUGGUAUUCCGGAGGGCAUGCCUGUUCGAGCGUCAUUUCAACCCUCAAGCAUUGCUUGGUGUUGGGGCACCGCCUGUAAAAGGGCGGGCCCAGAAAUCUAGUGGCGAGCUCGCCAGGACCCCGAGCGUAGUAAUUAUAUUUCGUUCUGGAAGGCCCUGGCGGUGCCCUGCCGUUAAACCCCCAACUUCUGAAAAUUUGACCUCGGAUCAGGUAGGAAUACCCGCUGAACUUAAGCAUAUCAAUAAGCGGAGGA